rnacentral:rRNA from 1 species
UACUCCUACGGGAGGCAGCAGUGGGGAAUAUUGGACAAUGGACCAAGAGUCUGAUCCAGCAAUUCUGUGUGCACGAUGAAGUUUUUCGGAAUGUAAAGUGCUUUCAGUUGGGAAGAAAGAAAUGACGGUACCAACAGAAGAAGUGACGGCUAAAUACGUGCCAGCAGCCGCGGUAAUACGUAUGUCACGAGCGUUAUCCGGAUUUAUUGGGCGUAAAGCGCGUCUAGGUGGUUAUAUAAGUCUGAUGUGAAAAUGCAGGGCUCAACUCUGUAUUGCGUUGGAAACUGUAUAACUAGAGUACUGGAGAGGUAAGCGGAACUACAAGUGUAGAGGUGAAAUUCGUAGAUAUUUGUAGGAAUGCCGAUGGGGAAGCCAGCUUACUGGACAGAUACUGACGCUGAAGCGCGAAAGCGUGGGUAGCAAACAGGAUUAGAUACCCUGGUAGUCCACGCCGUAAACGAUGAUUACUAGGUGUUGGGGGUCGAACCUCAGCGCCCAAGCAAACGCGAUAAGUAAUCCGCCUGGGGAGUACGUACGCAAGUAUGAAACUCAAAUGAAUUGACGGA